UAAUAGCUCACUAGUCGAGUGACACUGCGCCGAAAAUGUACCGGGGCUAAACAUAUUACCGAAGCUGUGGAUUGUCCUUUGGACAAUGGUAGGAGAGCGUUCUAAGGGCGUUGAAGCAUGAUCGUAAGGACAUGUGGAGCGCUUAGAAGUGAGAAUGCCGGUGUGAGUAGCGAAAGACGGGUGAGAAUCCCGUCCACCGAUUGACUAAGGUUUCCAGAGGAAGGCUCGUCCGCUCUGGGUUAGUCGGGUCCUAAGCUGAGGCCGACAGGCGUAGGCGAUGGAUAACAGGUUGAUAUUCCUGUACCACCUAUAAUCGUUUUA
rnacentral:rRNA from 1 species